CUUUGUCAUCUAGUCUAAUAAAUGAUGAUGCUUCGCCUUUCAAGCCCCAGUUUUGCUUCCUCAUGGGCCUCCAUAUGAACGGAGCAUGACUGAAGCCAGUUCAGAAUGGCAUGCACCUGAGUGAGAAGAAAGCAAAUCAGCAGUGGCCCAAAAAUCGUUUCCACCUUCCUGAUGGAGGAUUGUGUCCCAGGCUGGUGCUUGGUGGCAAGUAGGAGUUCCCUCAGCCCUAGUCUUAUGCUGCCCCUUCUGCUUCACUGGCCUAGCUACCACAACAGCAAAAAAGGGUAUUUUUCACCUGAAUCAGCUUCCUGCUCAGAUCCUGUCAUGGCCAUGCCCUGGAACAUAGCAAGCAAGGCAAUCCAGAAGUAGGUGAUGCCACUGCUUGUCCUCGCACAGUGCUACUGAAAGCCCCUGGCCAAUCCUAUGUAUUUGUUACUCCUCUCGUCUUGAGUUAACUGUCUCUAAGUGGCUCUGUAGACAAAUGCUUUCCAAUUCUAGACUUAUGAUAUAUCUAAAUAGCUACAACGACAAAAUUUGAAAGUGGAAGAACCGUUUUCCUGUUCCUUAGAAUGAAGAAUACAGCAAAAUGUCAACUCUUCCUGGGGCUGCCAACGCCAUCGCUUUCAUCUCCUGUGGUUCCACCGAUGAAGACUUGCUGCUCUGAAAGUCCUGCCUCCCUCACCUGUGAAAGUCACGCCACUGCCUGGCACCUUUUUUCCUUACAGACUCAGCAAAUAACUGAGCUUACAACCUCUAAACCAGCAUCUCACCCUUGCUGCCUUCAUCCCUAUUUCUUCCUCACUUCUAAUUGCAUGGUACAACUUCCUGCCUGGGCCACCUCAGAUGCUUGGCAGACCCUUUGCCAAAUUUCUUAA
rnacentral:lncRNA from 1 species